rnacentral:rRNA from 1 species
UACGUAGGGGGCAAGCGUUGUCCGGAUUUAUUGGGCGUAAAGAGCGUGUAGGCGGCCUGAAAGGUCAGCUGUGAAACUCGAGGCUCAACCUCGAGCUGUCGGCGGAAACCAUCUGGCUAGAGUCCGGAAGAGGAGAAUGGAAUUCCCGGUGUAGCGGUGAAAUGCGCAGAUAUCGGGAAGAACACCCGUGGCGAAGGCGGUUCUCUGGGACGGUACUGACGCUGAGACGCGAAAGCGUGGGGAGCGAACAGG